rnacentral:rRNA from 1 species
GACGAACGCUGGCGGCGUGCUUAACACAUGCAAGUCGAACGAAGAGCGACGGAAGCUUGCUUCUAUCAAUCUUAGUGGCGGACGGGUGAGUAACGCGUAAUCAACCUGCCCUUCAGAGGGGGACAACAGUUGGAAACGACUGCUAAUACCGCAUACGAUCUAACCUCGGCAUCGAGGAUAGAUGAAAGGUGGCCUCUACAUGUAAGCUAUCACUGAAGGAGGGGAUUGCGUCUGAUUAGCUAGUUGGAGGGGUAACGGCCCACCAAGGCGAUGAUCAGUAGCCGGUCUGAGAGGAUGAACGGCCACAUUGGGACUGAGACACGGCCCAGACUCCUACGGGAGGCAGCAGUGGGGAAUCUUCCGCAAUGGACGAAAGUCUGACGGAGCAACGCCGCGUGAGUGAUGACGGCCUUCGGGUUGUAAAGCUCUGUUAAUCGGGACGAAAGGCCUUCUUGCGAAUAGUGAGAAGGAUUGACGGUACCGGAAUAGAAAGCCACGGCUAACUACGUG